CCCUUUUUUCACAGAUUCCCUGCUGUAUUCAGUCAUACAACGUAUGGUGCUUUGUGGAUGAAUUGGGUUUGAAUAGUGAAUAAGUCUCUUGGCUGUAGGACUCCUGCUGUGGAGCAGAAGCUGGAAAGCAUGCAGUGAAUAAGGCAGGAAACUGGGACAUCAAAUGAUCUCGUGCUUAAGGCAACUGAAUGCCACCAUGGAGAACUGAAGCCAGCGGCACAAGGGCUCGGCAUCACUGAACUACAGAAACAACUCUCAAACUGGAGCUUGUGUGUUGCAUCACUUAAUUUUGACCUCCUGGGCAGAGAUAAUUUCACUCCUGUAUGUAGUCCAGAGCACUAGUUUCUGGCUUAAUGACAAAGGUAAAAUUACAGUAUUUUUUCCCUUAUUAAGCUCUGCAGAUCCUUCACUGCUA